AUACGGAGGGUCCAAGCGUUAUCCGGAUUCAUUUGGUUUAAAGGGUCCGCAGGCGGGAAAAUAAGUCAGUGGUGAAAGCCUACAGCUCAACUGUAGAACUGCCAUUGAAACUGUUUUUCUUGAGUAUAGAUGAAGUGGGCGGAAUAUAUCAUGUAGCGGUGAAAUGCAUAGAUAUGAUAUAGAACACCGAUUGCGAAGGCAGCUCACUAAACUAUUACUGACGCUCAGGGACGAAAGCGUGGGGAGCGAACAGGAUUAGAAACCCGAGUAGUCC
rnacentral:rRNA from 1 species